rnacentral:rRNA from 1 species
CAGUCGCCGCGGUAAUACAGAGGGUGCGAGCGUUAAUCGGAUUUACUGGGCGUAAAGCGUGCGUAGGCGGCUUUUUAAGUCGGAUGUGAAAUCCAUGAGCUUAACUUAGGAAUUGCAUUCGAUACUGGGAAGCUAGAGUAUGGGAGAGGAUGGUAGAAUUCCAGGUGUAGCGGUGAAAUGCGUAGAGAUCUGGAGGAAUACCGAUGGCGAAGGCAGCCAUCUGGCCUAAUACUGACGCUGAGGUACGAAAGCAUGGGGAGCAAACAGGAUUAGAUACCCCCGUAGUCCCUGUCUCUUAUAC